AUACGUAGGGGGCGAGCGUUGUCCGGAAUGAUUGGGCGUAAAGGGCGCGUAGGCGGCUUUGCAAGUCAGUAGUGGAAGUCCAUUUUUCAAGGAUGGAAGUGCUACAGAAACUGCGGAGCUUGAGUGCAGGAGAGGUUAUCGGAAUUCCCGGUGUAGCGGUGAAAUGCGUAGAGAUCGGGAGGAACACCAGUGGCGAAGGCGGGUAACUGGACUGCAACUGACGCUGAGGCGCGAAAGUGUGGGGAGCAAACAGGAUUAGAUACCCUGGUAGUCCACACUGUAAACGAUGUGCACCAGGUGGCGGGGGGUCGACCCUCGGUACCGUAGCUAACGCAUUAAGUGCACCGCCUGGGGAGUAUGCUCGCAAGGGUGAAACUCAAAGGAAUUGACGGGG
rnacentral:rRNA from 1 species